GCCUGGUUGGCGCAGUUGGUUAGCGCGUCAGUCUCAUAAUCUGAAGGUCGUGAGUUCGACCCUCACACUAGGCA